GAUGAACGCUGGCGAGAUGCCUUACACAUGCAAGUCGUACGAGAAUUUUGAAUUCGAGUGGCGGACGGGUGAGUAACACGUAAGAAUUUACCUUUAGGAGGGGGAUAACAACUGGAAACGGUUGCUAAUACCCCAUAUGCUUUCGAGUGAAAUGGAUUUUCUGCCUAAAGAGAAGCUUGCGGCUGAUUAGCUUGUUGGUGAGGUAAUGGCUUACCAAGGCGACGAUCAGUAUCUGGUUUGAGAGGAUGAUCAGACACACUGGAACUGAGACACGGUCCAGACUUCUACGGGAGGCAGCAGUGGGGAAUUUUCCGCAAUGGGCGAAAGCCUGACGGAGCAAUCUCGCGUGAGGGAUGACGGCCUAUGGGUUGUAAACCUCUUUUUUCAGGGAGGAAUCAAAUGACGUGUACCUGAAGAAUAAGCAUCGGCUAACUCCGUGCCAGCAGCCGCGGUAAGACGGAGGAUGCAAGUGUUAUCCGGAAUCACUGGGCGUAAAGCGUCUGU
rnacentral:rRNA from 1 species